AGCGAACGCUGGCGGCAGGCUUAACACAUGCAAGUCGAACGGGCACUUCGGUGCUAGUGGCAGACGGGUGAGUAACGCGUGGGAACGUGCCUUUCGGUUCGGAAUAAUUCAGGGAAACUUGGACUAAUACCGGAUACGCCCUUCGGGGGAAAGAUUUAUCGCCGAAAGAUCGGCCCGCGUCUGAUUAGCUAGUUGGUGAGGUAAUGGCUCACCAAGGCGACGAUCAGUAGCUGGUCUGAGAGGAUGAUCAGCCACAUUGGGACUGAGACACGGCCCAAACUCCUACGGGAGGCAGCAGUGGGGAAUAUUGGACAAUGGGCGCAAGCCUGAUCCAGCCAUGCCGCGUGAGUGAUGAAGGCCUUAGGGUUGUAAAGCUCUUUUGUCCGGGAAGAUAAUGACUGUACCGGAAGAAUAAGCCCCGGCUAACUUCGUGC
rnacentral:rRNA from 1 species